rnacentral:rRNA from 1 species
AUGAACGCUGGCGGCGUGCCUAAUCCAUGCACGUCGAGCGAACAGACGAGGAGCUUGCUCCUCUGACGUUAGCGGCGGACGGGUGAGUAACACGUGGAUAACCUACCUAUAAGACUGGGAUAACUUCGGGAAACCGGAGCUAAUACCGGAUAACAUGUUGAACCGCAUGGUUUAACAGUGAAAGACGGUCUUGCUGUCACUUAUAGAUGGAUCCGCGCCGCAUUAGCUAGUUGGUAAGGUAACGGCGUACCAAGGCAACGAUGCGUAGCCGACCUGAGAGGGUGAUCGGCCACACUGGAACUGAGACACGGUCCAGACUCCUACGGGAGGCAGCAGUAGGGAAUCUUCCGCAAUGGGCGAAAGCCUGACGGAGCAACGCCGCGUGAGUGAAGAAGGUCUUCGGAUCGUAAAACUCUGUUAUUAGGGAAGAACAAAUGUGUAAGUAACUAUGCACGUCUUGACGGUACCUAAUCAGAAAGCCACGGCUAACUACGUG